UAAUGCAGGGUGUUCGUGCUAGAUUGAUUGACAAGGAUUUCAGUCCAAAGUGGGAUCCAUCACGAUUGGAGGACGUUACAAAGGACAUGGUUGAAUCCUUCUUUGCCCCUCUGGGCAAGUUUGAGUCAGAACUGAACUUACCAACAUCAAUACGAGAGCCUUCAGUUUGAUCUUUGUUUCCGACUAAAAUUUCUGUAAAAUCUUCAAACUAUAGUUUUAGAUUUGAUAGGAAGGCAAGAAACAAUAGCUUUUUGACCCACUCAACACCACUAAAGA